rnacentral:tRNA from 1 species
CAGGAAGUAGUUUAAAAUAAAACGCUAGUUUUGGAGACUAAAAAUAGGGGGAGGCCUUCUUCCUGA